AGUUCAUGCCAUGUUUCAUUUCCAUGUCUAUGUCUGCGUGUUUCCUGUUUUAUUUUGGAAGAGUCUGGUGUUCUUUGUUCAUUGUAGUUAGUGUUACUCUCCCCUGUAUUGUCAUUAUGUUCCAUUCUAGUCAGCUGUGUUCUCAUGUGUCUCCACUUCCCCUGAUCGCCUCGUGUGUAUUUAGUCCUCAGUCUUGCUGUGUUCAGUGUCGCGUCGUCUGUGUUCUCACCUCCAUGUUUUCACGAGACUGCAUGAAGAUUCCAAGCUUACUUUUGGUUAAAUGGGUUACUUUACUGCAUUGUGGUAAUAGCUCAUAUAAGAUCUGCUUAUAUCUUGUUGGAUUCAGUUGCCAAAAUCCACAAAAAGCAGCAGCACAAGUCUGCUGAUCACAGCCUGCACAGAAAAUCUACUGGAGCUCACAACAGGAAUUACUGUGACAUAUUACUAAGUGACUCUUUUCCACACACUCCACCACUAUAACAGGUGCAGAGGCAAUGUUGCUCGUCGACGGUGCAACCUCAAAAGCUAUUCUUUAUUCCUUUUGUUUUCUCUGCUUGUAUUCUACAUAACAGCUGUUCAGGCUUAAUACAUUCAUUAGAAUUAGAAUUUGAUAUAAAGUUUUAUUCCCUUUUAUUUAUAUUUCUUAUCAUCAUACUAAUGUAACAUUAUAUAAGAGUCCAUUAUCUUUGAUUAAAAAUAGAUGGUACAAAUGUCCUAAAGCUAACCUUUACUUUCAUAAUUCAAGUUGAAUCAGCACUUUGAAUCACAGUAUUGCUUCAAUACAAAUGUCAAUGCUUCCACUUAAGGGAUGAACAUCUGCACCUUUGACCUCUCUGCUUUUGGUAGCAUUAUGUAUUGUGAUCUUUGUUAAGCACAUCUUUUCUUUAAAAAGAUGUGGCAUGUCUGGAAAAAGAAGACAAAGAAAGAAUAAAAACACAUUUCCACAAUUCAUUGCUUAUUGGCCCAACACUGCACCAUCAUUGCCUCUCUCUUCAUGUUUAAACAGUGAUUUUCCUGCUUUUCCACCAUAUUAUUUUAUUUUUCAAUAAAUUGUGUAAAACAAGCGGUAUGACCUUAAAGUCCUACCCAGAGUGAAUGCAUUGUGUGUUAAUUGCAUCAUAAAUAUUUCAAUUGAAAUGUUGAUCAAUAAAUGUCAGUGACCCAGCGCUCCAACAUCUUCAGUUUUCCACCACACACUUCACAGUAUUAGCAUUCUGAUUCCAAUACACCACACUAUAUUCAUCGAUUCCCUGUGAAGGACGAGUAGAGGUCAUGUUUUCGAUAAUUACAAGCAGUGGAUCACUAAGCUGUAAAUAACAUCAGCAUCAUUAGAGUGUGUUCGAGCAAUUAGGAAGCAUCUGUCUUUACUCGCAGGUUGAGAAUACAAAAAUAUGCCGGCAGACUCUCAUCUGAAAUCAUAGAGUACA